AACGAACGCUGGCGGCAUGCCUGACACAUGCAAGUCGAACGAGACCUUCGGGUCUAUUGGCGCACGGGUUCGUAACGCGUGGGAACCUGCCCUUAGGUUCGGAAUAACUCCCCGAAAGGGGUGCUAAUACCGGAUAAUGUCUUCGGACCAAAGAUUUAUCGCCUUUGGAUGGGCCCGCGUUGGAUUAGCUAGUUGGUAGGGUAAAAGCCUACCAAGGCGACGAUCCAUAGCUGGUCUGAGAGGAUGAUCAGCCACACUGGGACUGAGACACGGCCCAGACUCCUACGGGAGGCAGCAGUGGGGAAUAUUGGACAAUGGGCGAAAGCCUGAUCCAGCAAUGCCGCGUGAGUGAUGAAGGCCUUAGGGUUGUAAAGCUCUUGUACCCGGGAUGAUAAUGACAGUACCGGGAGAAUAAGCUCCGGCUAACUCCGUG
rnacentral:rRNA from 1 species